GGGUGUGGCUGGGGCAGACUUGCCCCUGACGGUGGUGGCCUUGAGUUCUGGUGGGUGCCUAGCGAGGGCUUCAGAUUCAGGAGGGUGUGAUAGGCCACUGGGCAUGGCCUGUCCCGGCACCUGACCACUUGUCCCCGGGUUCCCCUGUGUGUGAACAGCUGAGCAAGACCCCCAGCCCUGGGUGCCUGGCUGGAGAGCUGCCAGCUCUGUGGGUCUUGCCAAGGGAGCUGGUUGGAGUUCAGGACCCCUUGCCUGGAGAUGAGAAAGGAGUGAGGCCUUGGGGACAAAAACCAAGCCCACAGUCACUCUGGACUCUCCUGAGAGGCCCACCCUGCAGCCUCCUCAGAUAGGGAAUUUCAAAGUUCGAUCUGCCCUGACCCGGGGUCUCCCAAGCCCACAGGAGCCACAGCUUCCCAGCCACAGGAGUUCUGGGUGAGUCCCCACGAUCUGUCCUUUCUCCUCACUGCCCUGGCUGGGUGCUGGUCACCAGGCUGUGGCUAGCCCUUUGAGCAACCCACACUGUCCUUAUCCAGGAUUCACCCUGCCGGUCCCGCACCUGUGCUCCAGCAGACCAAGGCAGGGCUGGCUGGGGCCAUCGCUGGGCAGGAAAGCCCUUUGGUUAGCUGGCUCACCCACUGCAGAUGGCUGCUGUGUGUUCUUCCCACUACAGCUGGCCACCCCAGUCAUACUCUCCACUGGUGGGUCCCUGGCUAUGGCCUCCCAGUGUUUGGGGAGUUGAGACAUCCCUUCCCUGGGCCCUAGUGAGCACGGACCUUGCUCCCUCCUGUCUGGGUGCCUUGGCCCACUGGGUAUUCAGCUUUAGGGGCCUAUGUCCAGCCACCAGGAGGCAGAGGGGGAUGUUCUGGUCCUGUGGCCUUGGGCCUAGAAGCCUCUGGCAUUCUGGCGAUGGCAUCAUGGGGCCUGGGUGCUCUGAAGCAGCAGCACCCCCAGCUCUUGUCUGGAAGGAGCCCUCUUGCCGGCUGGAAGAACUUUGAAGCAGGGUUAGGGGGUAACAUGCCCCUGGCCAUUGGAGGUCCUGGGCACUCGGGGACCUUGGGAAACUGUCAUCAGCAGUGGGUUAGUGGCUGUUGCAGCCUCAGUGCCCCUGCCAGGGCACCCAGGAGCUACCUGGGGCACACGGAUGGGCUGCCUGUCAGGAGCCACAGACACAUUCUCCUGACAGAUCCACAUGGCACUGUGGUUUUCAAGGACGGUAUCAUGUGGCAGAGAGCCCUCCAGUGGGGAGAAAUGUCCCUUCCAGUGUGGGUGGCCACCCAACACCAAUCCCUCUGGCUACGUCAGGCCUAGGAUCUGAGUCCUCCUUGGUGUGGCACAGGGAGGUUCCAGCUGGGUCCACUGGCAGGAGGACAAGGUCAGCCAGCUCCAACACACCGCCAGCCCUAGCCCACUCCCUGCUGGGGCCCAAGGUCCCACAUCGCUACCCUAGCCCACUCCCUGUUGGGGCCCAAGGUCCCAGGCUGCUCUCAGCCUGUGCAGGCCCCAGGACCUGGAGGAUGGGGACUCUUUCCCUGAGGGAGGUUUGUUCCUGCCUUACCUGUGGCAGCAUGCUGUGUGCCUCAGACACAGUGGGCACCUGAGGUACCAGGGCUGGGGCUCUGCAGGGUGAGUAUGGCGGACAGUGGCCUCUCUAGAAGCCCCAGCCACUCUGCAGGACAGCAGGAUGGCAUUCCUUAGGUUGCAAGAGGAGGAGUAAAGGCUACACUGUUGGCCACUGUGCAUCAGGAAGGAGGGUUGGUGUCCUGGCCAUGCAGUCUGGCCCCUGGGGAAGGGAAGGUGUUGGACUCUGUGGGAUGGUCUGGGGGCCCAUUCUAGGCAAUGAAAGGUAGAAGCUCCUUCUUGGGCCUGCAGACCCAGGCCUGAGCAGCACAGCUGUCCACUGCCCCUGGGCAGCUGUCCUACCCUUAGAGAAGGAAGCUGGAGGUUUGUGUGAGAAAUGUGUCACUUUCUUGGGGCCAGUGGCCACCCUGUGGCACACGUUUCCUGAGACAAGACAUUGUUAGAGCAUGCAUACCCAUGUGCCCACUUGCCCACUGACACAUACAGGUCUGCAUAAGACUCUCCUGCAUGCUCACAGACCACGCACGCCAGAUGCACACUUUCACACACACAGCAGAUGUGCACUCACAUGGACACACAAAACUCACAUGUGCACACAAGUGCAAGCUCACAGCAGGUGCACUGUCACACAUACAUAUAAAGCACAUUCACAGGCAGCACAUGUACAUAUACAACCACAUGUGGCCAGUACACAAUCAUGCCCACACAUGCUCACACACAUGCACAUGUAAGCGCACAGUCCGCGUGUGCAGACACGUGCACACACCCACCACGACUCUGACUUGGGCUGCCCUUUGUCUCUGGCCUUUUUCUCUUUGACUUUUCCUGAUUUAGGCUGCCCAGGGAGGGAGCCACAGGAAUUAAUGACUUUACACAGAAGGUUCUAGAAUGCUGAACACUAGGUGGGGGUUCCCACUGUCCAAGACUCCUGGACCAGUGCCAGAGGGGCCACCUUGAGCCCAUUAAGGGCCCCAUGCUGCCUUCUCCCUGGCUGGCUGGGCAGCUGUGCAGCACUUGUGGCCUGCUGAAGGCCUAGGGAAGCCAGGUGGGGACCCGGGGUUCCAGCACUCUCUGGUGUCCAGACCUGUUUCCGCUUAGCUGUGCUGGCCACCUGUGCCAUUCUUAGACAUGGCUUGGCCUCGUCACCCCAGGUCCUGUCUCAAACAGGUAUUGCAUGUCCACCGUGACAUUUCUGUCCCCCUGGUCACAGACUUCGAAGUCCACCCCAUCUGCAGUGGCUGGGACACCUGGAGGGUAGGCCACCUUCUCCCCACCUCCGGCUCUAGGCAGGGAAGGUGGCAGGGCCACACCAGGUCCUAAGGAAACCUAUUUAGGUGGGGAGGUGGGGAUCGUCCCCGAGGCUUCCUGAAGGCAAAAUGGGCCGAGGGCUGGGAAGCCUUUUGGAAACGCUGGGGUGCGUCUGGGCCACCCCGGCUGUAAGUGGUGUGCAGAGUGGAGGCUGUGGAUUUGUGAUGGAUCUGGGCCUGCACAGCCAGCAGAUAACACUUCAGCUGCCCUCCAUGGUCACAACCCUGUAAAACAAACAUGGUGGGGGUGGACAGCACCGCCCAUUCAGAGUAGACUUAGAGGGUCUGGGUCAUCUUGUGUCCCAGCAGGGCGGGUUGGCUUCUAGUGAGAGGCUCUGCCCAUGGCCCCUGUGGGGCCCCAGUGCACAUGGCUGGGGCAGACCUGGCACGGCCCUCAGCACCCUCAGCCAUGGUGCAGACUGCCUGUCCUGUGCCAACCUCCUGGCUACCUGCUUGUGUAUGGGAGGUGAGCUGUGAGGUACAGAGGGCUGGGCAUGGCCUCAGGGUCCACAGGCUAGAACUGCUGCCCAGGGAUCCUGGGUGGCUGUCCCAGGCCAGCUGCUCUGGUUCUGCCUGGGCCCCAGCUGAGGCCCAGAACCACCAAGGAGGGGAGGUGGUGAGGAGGGCUUCCCUACUCAAGGGCAAGACCCCACUUUCUCUCCCCUCUCUGAGACUUGAGCUCCUCCAACUGCACACGGGUGGUUCAUUCUGUGUGCCCAGAGCCAGAAUGAAGGGGGACGUGGUUUGCUGUCUGGUGAGGUGGGGCUAAGAACCAGCUCAGGAAGAGGAGGGUGAGGGAUAGGGCAGCGGAGGGAAGGUGCUCCGUGGGAGGUGAAGCCCUUGCAGUUCUGCAACCUUGGUGCCCACAGCAGGGUUGAGUGAGCACUUGAUGCUCGCCUUAUACCCUGGCAGACCCAGGGUGCUGAGUCUCAGUGGCCCUGCCCCAGAGUUCUGCAGUGUCUGACCCUCUGUCUGGUGCCGAGAGGAGGGGAUGGUUCCUGGGUCUCCUGGGCAGGAGGGCCCAUUGCUGAACGCCGCACAUCUAACUUGGACUGGGUUACACAAAGUCGUUGCCUUAAAAGCAUUGUUGACAGAAACUCACUGAGGUCAGCCCAGACCCCUGGCCUCUGUCAGGCUUGGACACCUGGGCCCCGCCUCUGGGUCAGGCAGCAUGGGGCAGUCACGAGCAGCAGAGGUCUCUCGGUUGCCUCAUGCAGAGGCGCUCGCGUUGGCUGUCCCUUUUGCUGCUGCCAUCCGCCCAGGCCAGCCUGGUGCACCCCAUGCCCGCACCCAUGCGCUGCAGUCUGUCUGGCCAGGGUGGCUGCAGCUCCCCACGCACCCUCCCGCCAUCGGCCGCCUUUGCACUUUUGUUCAUGCUCCAAAGAAUUCUUCAUGAUGCCUUUGUGCUGACGCGCACCUCUGCCCACUGCGUGCACCUAUGGACCGCGGCCUCCACCCUGCUCGUUUGUGAAUGUGCUGCCGCUGCACACUCGAAACUAGAGCUUGUGCCCCAUCUCCUAGGAACAGACACCAGGGGACAAGCACUGGUCUUCUAACGGAUUAGCCGAGACGCCAACUCAGCACGGACAGGUUGAUGCUUGUGUUACAUGAAUGGGCCAGCUCAGGCUUGCCCAGGGGACUCUGGGUGCAGAAUCCCACGCCAGGGAUGCACAUAGACAGUUCUGGAAAGUUCUGCUGCCAUGGGGCCAAGUCCAGAUGCCCAGUGGGCCUGUGCACUUAAUAAAUGCAGUGAUUCAACCUGGAUUGUGA
rnacentral:lncRNA from 1 species